CCCCCCCCCCCCCCCCCCCCCCCCCCCCCCCCCCCCCCCCCCCAAGGUGGGACAGGGGCGGGUGUGCCUGGGGUGAAAGAGGAGGAGGAGGAGGAUGAGGAGCAGGGGGAGGAGGAGCAGGGGGAGGAGGGCAGGUGAGUCAGGUUUUCCUCGCCUUGGAUUUUUUUUUUUUUUUUCUCCGCGUCCCGUCGGUGUCGCCGCGCUCCCCGCGCCCCGGGAUGGAGGCACCGGCGCCGGCGCCGGGACCCACCCGCUGCUUCUCCCCCGCGCAGGAGGAGCUCCAGGCCCAGGCGCGGGUCCUCAGGGACAGGAGGGAGAGGAUGGUGGGGCUGAAGGCAGCGGAGGAAGGCAAAAGCCUGGACUUGCUGGAGCGCGUGGCCGCGGAGCGGGAGCGGGUCCGGUCCCGGGUGCGGGAGCUGCAGCAGCUGCUGGCGGGGCAGGAGCGGCUCCUGCUGGCGCGGCCCCCCCCCCCCCCCCCCCCCCCCCCCCCCCCCCCCCCCCCCCCCCCCCCCCCCCCCCCCCCCCCCCCCCCCCCCCCCCCGGAGCGGAGCAUCGGCCGCCUCUCGGAGCGCAUCGCCGCCCUGGGCCGGCAGAUCCGCCAGCUGGAGGAAAAGUGCGAGCAGCCGCCCUGGGAGCUGCUGCAGGACAGCGCAGACACCCUCAGCAGGUUCGUGGCUCCUCUCCUGCGCCCCUGCCGCCUUCUUGUCCUUUGUCCCCGCGGCCGGGGGGCUCCAGAACCCCAACAAUCGGUGACAGGACACGACCAGGACAGCACAAAACUCCAGUUUGGGUUCUGGAUGCCCCAGGGUCAGGCUGGAGGCACCGAGUGACCCCGAGCCGGGGGAGGCUCCCCCAGAGCCGGCAGAGGAGCCCACAGAGCUGCCCCAAAGAAACGCCGCCCUCAGGGAGAUGCUGCAGAAAUUCCGAGCCAGCCUGACCCUGGACCCCGACACGGCGCACCCCCGCCUCGCCCUGUCCGAGGAUUUGAAGCGGGUGCGCUGG
rnacentral:lncRNA from 12 species